UGCCUACGGGGGGCAGCAGUGGGGAAUAUUGGGCAAUGGGCGCAAGCCUGACCCAGCAACGCCGCGUGAAGGAAGACUGCCCUAUGGGUUGUAAACCUCUUUUGUCAGGGAGCAACGCCGGCUACGUGUAGCCGGACUGAGAGUACCUGAAGAAAAAGCAUCGGCUAACUCCGUGCCAGCAGCCGCGGUAAUACGGAGGAUGCGAGCGUUAUCCGGAUUUAUUGGGUUUAAAGGGUGCGUAGGCGGAAUGCCAAGUCAGCGGGAAAAUCGCGGGGCUCAACCUCGCUCCGCCGUUGAAACUGGCG
rnacentral:rRNA from 1 species